UCAAGAGGAGACACGAUAAUUUUUCUGAAAAAUGUUCUCUCUUAGAAAAUUGCUAGGUAUCUUCUUAAAUGAGUGAGUAACACCUCUCUCGUCUGGAAAAAGUAAUAAAGAGUGUGUAAGUAUAAGGAAGAUCUGAUUAAAGAUUUUUUUUAUGUUGUAAUCAGUUUGAGAAAUAAAAAGUUUGUUCAUAUAUCCUUUGUCAAUUUUUUAUGCUGGUAACAAAUGAAGGUUGCGAUCUUCAGCCUAAACGGAGGAAGGACGACGUAACAAGUAGCCUGAAGAUAGUUAAUUGCAAUAGGCUAAAAUAGUUCUUCAUAGUCGGAAGGAGAAGCACUGCGGUGCUGAUAAAACCAACAUAGAGGAGAGUAAAGUGUAUCCAUGAGUCCAUGGUCAUGAAGAGCAUGGAAACAAACACCAAGUUGUUGAAAUUUCUGACAUUCAAUGUAUUUUUAUUUACAUUAAAUCUUCUCAAUUAACAAUUAUCUAUAAAUAAUACACGAUAAUUUAUUAUUGUUAACU